rnacentral:lncRNA from 1 species
CCAAAUCCAGCUCGGGUCACGUCACUCACCAGGUAGCUCCGAACCACCGUGAAAUGCGGCCGAGCCUUCACCACCAUUAAAUCUGCCACCGAUCUCAUGUACUCCUCUGUAACCAACCCUUUUGCUUUCUUCACUAACUGUAAAGUAUACCCUAAUGGGUUUGCAUGUAUUUUCUUUGCUUGACUUAUAGCAACAGCAAAAGCGAACCCAUUACCAUAAUAACCAGUGGGUAAUGGUGGGUUGAAUUUAGUACGGGAGUUAACGAUGCAUAUAAUCCGCAUUUCUUCUUCCGGGUCUGGUUGGAGGGCGAUGGUACGACAACGCCAUAGACACGCAGUUAGGACUUCGAAGUUGGAAGAGCGACGAAGGUGAGGAGGGAGGAGACGACAAAUGGCGGCCAUUUCAGUAUGACCGAAGAAGAAAGAGCGGUGGAUCAUGUCAUCGACAGGGAUGAUGGUGCCCUUAAUGUCCUCCACCUCGUCAUAUUCAUGGUGAACACAGGUCACUCGCGGCGGGUCUCUCGCGGUUAGUAAGUGUCUUUCCCAGACGGGUUGGACAGAGGGAGAGUUUGCUCCUCGGGCCAUCUCCGCCACAGCAGUCAUGAACUGGACGAGACCAAAUGCAUCGCUCAUGGUGUGGUUCAGGCGGAGAGCGAAGAUAAAGCCGCCACACUUCAGGCGUGUAACCUAUUGUAUUUUUAAAGAAAUCAAAAAUUAAAAUUCAAUUGUAUAUAGUUGAAUACUUUACAUACAUAUAUAUAAAUCAAAAUUACUGAGUAACUUGUGCUAAAAGGCCAACUACAUGCGAAGUUGGCAUGACUCUAACAGGAUACCAUCCAUUACAUGAAUCUUGUUAUUUUUUUUAAAUAUAUAUGUAUAUAUAUAUAAAUUACUUAAUUUAUGCAUAAUUAAUCAAUUGAUAUACUUUUUAAUACUUAGAUUUUUUUUUAAGUUUCAUAGUUUAAAAUCUUUUUUAUAAGGUGGAGAAUAUAUUGUUAGCAUGACUAUUUUUUUCAUGAAUAUUUAUUUAAAAUCUUUUUAUAUUUGAAUAUAUAAUAAAA